AAAUUCUUAGGUAUCAUAAUAGCAGUAUGUGAUAUUGUAAUAUCCUUGUCCUUUAACAGAUGCUGUUUCUCAGCCUAACAUUACUCAAGUCUGCAACUCCAGCAGCUGCACCCUGAGCUGUAAGGCAAAGGAGGACGAGCACUCUCAGUACACCUGGACAGAUAGCAGGGGGGAGAGGAAGGAUGGGCCUGUGUGGACUGUGGAGAAGAGAGCUGAAGACCAGGGUGUGACCUACACCUGUAAUGUCAGUAAUCCAGUGAGCUGGGCGAUUGGAACUUUCCCUGUGCCAGGCAGGAUUGCUUAUGGAAAAAUCUUUGGAAUUGGUUCUGCUGUUCUUGUUUUGAUUGGGAUUGGGAUUGGGAUCUUCUGCUGUUGGAAAAGGAAAACUUGUAUUUGGAAUCUAUCAACACCAGGAACUGAAGAGUUAUCAUGCAGUGGGAACAGAACUGAUGCCACAGCAGAGAACGGUGAUGCCGUGGGGAUAAAACGUAGCGAAUUACAAGAACUACUCGGCCAGACAAGAGACGCAUCAAAUAGAGUCCAUGGGCAUGCUACAAAUGCAGAGAAUGGUGAUGCAUCACAUGAAGUGGUAAUUAAUCUGCAUGAGUUAUCAUGCAGUGGGAACAGAACUGAUGCCACAGCAGAGAACGGUGAUGUGACCCCAGACCUCACUUCUCAGCAAGACAGUAAGACACCCAUCGUAUCAGCCACAUCAUAGGCCUUCAGAUCACUAUUGCUCCACUAAACGUGACAAGAAAGGUGUGUGUGUGUAUUUGUGUGUGUGUGUGUGUGUGUGUGUGUGUGUGUGUAUGUGUGUGUGUGUGUGUGUGUGUGUGUGUGUGUGUGUGUGUGUGUGUGUGUGUGUGUGUGUGUGUGUGUGUGCGCGAGCAGGCGUGAGUGCGUGCGUGUGUAUGUUUGUAUUUCUGUAUUUCCUGAGUAAAUGACUCAAUCUAACGUGUACACAUCAUAAAUACCAAUUCCCAUAUCUUACACUUUACCACAACACAUAAGAAGAUACUAACAAGAAGCACUCCAAACUACUUGAUGAUUUUGCGUUAAUGUGUCGGUUUUCAGAGGUAGUGUUAAAAAGGUAGAAAUGGUGAUGUAUCAGAUGGAUUAUCUAACCUGAUAAUCUGGUGAGAUACCCUAUGAUCACAAUGAUGAUGAUUUUUUUCAAUUUAGAGGCAAUGUUACAAAGCUGAGUGUGUGUGUGUGUGUGUGUGUGUGUGUGUGUGUGUGUGUGUGUGUGUGUGUGUGUGUGUGUGUGUGUGUGUGUGUGUGUGUGUGUGUGUGUGUGUGUGUGUGUGUGUGUGUGUGUGUGUGUAUGCAUAUAUGUUUUCUACAGCAAAAGAGGAAGUGCCAAAGCUUGAGACCUCUGAGGUGGACGUGGAUUAUGGGGAAACCCCAGAUGAUGCCAACGCACCCUUCUUUGAUAAAAAUGUUAUCUAGGUGCUUUCCAAAGACCAUGCUGGUGUUUUCAACUCUCCAUCUUCUCUAACAUUGGACAUAAUCACGUUCAAAUCAAUACAGAAACAACUAUUGAAGGAUUUUAUUUAUAAGCCUGAGACUAGAUGGUAGCCUGUUACAAUUGUAUUCCCUAAAGAGUAAUAUGUGCUGGUCACAUGUCACAGAAGUAUUUUUGGCUGCUCUGUUCUCAGGAAUUUAAAUUGUUUUAAUGGUCCUAUGAUCCAAUGAUACUGAUACUAACACAGUACUGA
rnacentral:lncRNA from 1 species